AGUCCUGUAGCUCAACGGUGGAGCAAGCGCCUUACAAGCGAGGGGUUGUAGGUUCGAAUCCUAUCAGGACUACCA
rnacentral:tRNA from 1 species